rnacentral:lncRNA from 1 species
GAUCAUAUGAUUGUAUAAUUUUUAGAUAUUUUUUUAGAUUAUUGUAUAAUUUUUAGAUAUUUUUUAUGAGACUUUGAAUAUGAGUUUCGGGUCUCGAAAUCGGAUUCGGAUAUUCGAGAUCCAUUAGGGUCCAGGUCCGGUACUUUAAGGCUAGACCCGUCGGGUAUUUGGGUCCGGAUCUAGUACCAGUAACUAAGAUCGAGUCCGAUCUAAAUAUUUAGGUUCUGAUCCGAAUCCGACUCGUUGACAGAUCUAGUUAUAAGUGAGCCGUUAACCCUGACCUAAAGGCC